UUCCGUGUAUCCUUGGGCCUUGCCGGCCAGCAGUCACUUCCUAGCCAUGGAGAGCAUGUUCUUGUUAUUGCCAAGGUUGUCACCAUUUAACUGGUUUCAGAUUCUGACUUGAACAAGGAACAUCU